rnacentral:tRNA from 1 species
GGGGAUUUAGCUCAGUGGUAGAGCGCUUGCCUAGCAUGGGCAAGGCCCUGGGUUCGGUCCCCAGCUCCA